rnacentral:rRNA from 1 species
CGGGGUGAGUAAUGUCUGGGAAACUGCCUGAUGGAGGGGGAUAACUGCUGGAAACGGUAGCUAAUACCGCAUAACGUCGCAAGACCAAAGAGGGGGACCUUCGGGCCUCUUGCCAUCGGAUGUGCCCAGAUGGGAUUAGCUAGUAAGUGGGGUAACGGCUCACCUAGGCGACGAUCCCUAGCUGGUCUGAGAGGAUGACCAGCCACACUGGAACUGAGACACGGUCCAG